rnacentral:rRNA from 1 species
GAUGAACGCUGGCGGCGUGCCUAAUACAUGCAAGUCGAGCGAACGGACGAGAAGCUUGCUUCUCCGAUGUUAGCGGCGGACGGGUGAGUAACACGUGGAUAACCUACCUAUAAGACUGGGAUAACUUCGGGAAACCGGAGCUAAUACCGGAUAAUAUUUUGAACCGCAUGGUUCAAAAGUGAAAGACGGUCUUGCUGUCACUUAUAGAUGGAUCCGCGCUGCAUUAGCUAGUUGGUAAGGUAACGGCUUACCAAGGCAACGAUGCAUAGCCGACCUGAGAGGGUGAUCGGCCACACUGGAACUGGGACACGGUCCAGACUCCUACGGGAGGCAGCAGUAGGGAAUCUUCCGCAAUGGGCGAAAGCCUGACGGAGCAACGCCGCGUGAGUGAUGAAGGUCUUCGGAUCGUAAAACUCUGUUAUUAGGGAAGAACAUAUGUGUAAGUAACUGUGCACAUCUUGACGGUACCUAAUCAGAAAGCCACGGCUAACUACGUGCCAGCAGCCGCGGUAAUACGUAGGUGGCAAGCGUUAUCCGGAAUUAUUGGGCGUAAAGCGCGCGUAGGCGGUUUUUUAAGUCUGAUGUGAAAGCCCACGGCUCAACCGUGGAGGGUCAUUGGAAACUGGAAAACUUGAGUGCAGAAGAGGAAAGUGGAAUUCCAUGUGUAGCGGUGAAAUGCGCAGAGAUAUGGAGGAACACCAGUGGCGAAGGCGACUUUCUGGUCUGUAACUGACGCUGAUGUGCGAAAGCGUGGGGAUCAAACAGGAUUAGAUACCCUGGUAGUCCACGCCGUAAACGAUGAGUGCUAAGUGUUAGGGGGUUUCCGCCCCUUAGUGCUGCAGCUAACGCAUUAAGCACUCCGCCUGGGGAGUACGACCGCAAGGUUGAAACUCAAAGGAAUUGACGGGGACCCGCACAAGCGGUGGAGCAUGUGGUUUAAUUCGAAGCAACGCGAAGAACCUUACCAAAUCUUGACAUCCUUUGACAACUCUAGAGAUAGAGCUUUCCCCUUCGGGGGACAAAGUGACAGGUGGUGCAUGGUUGUCGUCAGCUCGUGUCGUGAGAUGUUGGGUUAAGUCCCGCAACGAGCGCAACCCUUAAGCUUAGUUGCCAUCAUUAAGUUGGGCACUCUAAGUUGACUGCCGGUGACAAACCGGAGGAAGGUGGGGAUGACGUCAAAUCAUCAUGCCCCUUAUGAUUUGGGCUACACACGUGCUACAAUGGACAAUACAAAGGGCAGCGAAACCGUGAGGUCAAGCAAAUCCCAUAAAGUUGUUCUCAGUUCGGAUUGUAGUCUGCAACUCGACUACACGAAGCUGGAAUCGCUAGUAAUCGUAGAUCAGCAUGCUACGGUGAAUACGUUCCCGGGUCU